rnacentral:lncRNA from 1 species
ACUGUACCCACUAAAUCUACAAAAAAUAGUUAAUAAUGAAUCCACAGUAUUUGUAAUUUUGAUUUUGUUUUUAUAUAAUUUGUUUUUUUGAGGUUAUUGGCUAUGUUGAUGUAUAUUUUUAACAAUUUUUUUAAAAGUUGUUUAUAGUCUAAGAUUAACCUGAUGUCUGAUGGUCUGUUUUAGGGGAACCAGCUGGUGGCAAUUUUAUUAUGUUCUAUAUAUCAUGUAUAUAUAUUUGAACUAGCCAGUCCCCUAAUCAAGAUGUCACUUAUCAAAGCAAUCUCACCUCAAGUUGUUAAAAGUGUUCAAAACAACUUUCUUUCGGUUUUGAUACAUUUGUAAAGAAAAUAAGUGUAUAGUAUGUUAUAAAACAGAACAAACUUUGAUAAUUUUUCCUACUUCAAGGAUUUUGUUAUAUUCUAGCUGGUAUAUACAGCAAGGAACUUUAGUAAUGUAUACUUAUUUACACAUAAUGUUCAGUGUUGCAUAAAUUUAAAUGUCUUGAGGAUAGAAAGAUGUGUU